UUUUCCCUCGCUCUCGGGUUCCUGAAUUAGCUGUUUGUUUACGGCUACAGACUUGUGUGUGCCAGCGAACCGAGCCAGCGCGCGAGGGAGGGAAUUGAUCUUUCCCCAGACUCAAAGCUGGAGCGGAAGAAGUGCGGGGGAUUUGGGGUUCUGAGUGGGACUCAGCCCCUGGGUGCUGAGGAGAAGCCUGUGGGGCUCUCUAGCCCGCUUCUCUAACCCCAGCGACCUUGCAGGAAUCCUCAGGCCUGAGAGCUGCCCGGCUCUGGGCUUUGCAGAAAGUGGCGGCGGCUGCGUCCCGGUCUUUAAAACGAACGCAAAGAAAGGAGGCAAAGCUGAAACCUUGUCGCGUGUCAGAAGCAACCUGCCGUGAAAUUCGUUAAUGCGCCCCGACUCGCCCUUCGCGCAUGUAGCCACAGCAAAUUAUUGCUCAUUUGAUACCCAGAAUUCUAUUGACCAUGGCUUUCGUCGGAGAGAGAAUUUUAACUACUGGCUGCUCUGGGCUCGGAGCUGAGGCUGGGAACAAGUAAAUCCAGCCCUGACCGACAAGAAUUGAUGGGGAUGUGCUGUUGAUUGGAGCCACGUGGACUUGCAUAGAAACCUGCUUUUUACUCUGCCUG
rnacentral:lncRNA from 1 species